rnacentral:lncRNA from 1 species
UUCGUGUUCGGUGGUGGAGAAUGAUUGAGUUGGAAGCCUAUGCGGAGAACAUUGUGAGGGAUGUGCAUGAUUUAUUGGUUUCACGGACGGGUUAAUCUUGGAUAACUACUUUUUACAUAAUUAAUCAAUUAUUGCUAAAUAUGUUGGAAAUUGUAAAAAAGUUUGAACUUGGAUAUGACAUUAAACCUUAACCUUAGUCUCGGGAAUGGGAUGUGUGUUUCUUGUUCGACCCACGUGAAAGUGAGAAACAGAUUUGCUUGAGGGCAAGCAAAUGACAAGUGUGGGGAUGUGAUGGAGAGUGUAAAACAUGGGUGUUGAAGUGUUUAUCUUACGUGGUUUAGCUUGUUUUAUAUGAUUAUAUGCCUGGAAUUAGCUUAUUGCGAGUGAUUGUAUGAUUGCAGGCAAAACAAGUGAAUUGAAUGAAGUUACGGUGGUUAGUCUGAGUUUACGGUUCAUAUCUAAUUUUCAAGGUGCAAAGUAUAAUUUAUAAUGUGACCACAAUAAAUGCAAAUAACAUCCAUCACACGUGAAAGUGAAAAGGGAGCCAAUGGAGCAUUAAUGGAGCAUUAAUAUGUGAAUAAUUAUUCAUCAUCAUCACAACAAUAGAGAAUCACAUGGAUUCUUUGGGAACCGAUAUACAAGGUUCGCUUCGAUAUUGAGUCUUUUUAUGAGGGAGUGGGUAUCAACCAGCUGGUUUUUAAUUGGAAUAGUUGGGCUCCCUCGAAAGCGAACUAUCUCCUGUGGAGAGGGAUGCUGGGAAAGGUAGCUUCUAGAGUUGGUCUGAGCCGUAGGGGAGUCCAUUUAACGGAUGUAUCUUGUCCGAGAUGUGGUUUGCAGGAUGAGGAUUCGGACCAUAUUUUUGUUACAUGUCUUUGGGCUCGUAGCAUUUGGUGGAAUAUGUUGGUUUGGAUGAGAAUCAACUUUCCAGCCGAUAUUAUUUCUCUGGAGGAGUUUGUUUCUUAUCUUCAUAAUCAACCGGGGGGGAAGAGAUGGAAAAAGAUAGUUUACACGGUCACUUUGGCUACGGUUUGGAGGAUAUGGAAGGCGAGGAACGAAAAGGUCUUUGAAGACCGCUUCAUUCCGGUUCAAACAUCUGUUGAGUUAAUCAAGGAGGAUGCUUUUUUAUGGCUGGGGAAUCGCUCGAAACUCCAACUGACGGAUUGGAUCAAAUGGAAGUCAUUUGAUAUCUCGGAAGUUUUGUAAUCUUUUCUUCUGUUUUCGGUUUGUUUAGUUCUGGUCCUUUUCCGUUUUUGUUUUCUCAGCUACUUGCUGGCUCUUUAUAUAUAUAUAUAA